UCCCUGGUGGUCUAGUGGUUAGGAUUUGGUGCUUUCACUACUGUCGUCUGGGUUCAACCCCUGGUCUGGGAA
rnacentral:tRNA from 1 species